rnacentral:rRNA from 1 species
GUGGGGAAUAUUGGGCAAUGGGCGAAAGCCUGACCCAGCAACGCCGCGUGAAGGAAGAAGGUCUUCGGAUCGUAAACUUCUAUCCUUGGUGAAGAUAAUGACGGUAGCCGAGAAGGAAGCCCCGGCUAACUACGUGCCAGCAGCCGCGGUAAUACGCAGGGGGCAAGCGUUGUCCGGAAUGAUUGGGCGUAAAGGGCGCGUAGGCGGCCUGGUAAGUCUGGAGUGAAAGUCCUGCUUUUAAGGUGGGAAUUGCUUUGGAUACUGUCGGGCUUGAGUGCAGGAGAGGUAAGUGGAAUUCCCGGUGUAGCGGUGAAAUGCGUAGAGAUCGGGAGGAACACCAGUGGCGAAGGCGACUUACUGGACUGUAACUGACGCUGAGGCGCGAAAGUGUGGGGAGCAAACAGGAUUAGAUACCCGAGUAGUCC